UACGUAGGGUGCAGCGUUGUCCGGAAUUAUUGGGCGUAAAGAGCUCGUAGGCGGUUUGUCGCGUCUGCCUGUGAAAACUGGAGGCUCAACCUCCAGCCUGCAGUGGGUACGGGCAAACUAGAGUGCGGUAGGGGAGAUUGGAAUUCCUGGUGUAGCGGUGGAAUGCGCAGAUAUCAGGAGGAACACCGAUGGCGAAGGCAGAUCUCUGGGCCGUAACUGACGCCGAGGAGCGAAAGCAUGGGGAGCGAACAGG
rnacentral:rRNA from 1 species